GUAAAACUGCGAAUGGCUCAUUAAAACAGUUAUAGUUUAUUUGAUACAUUAAAUGGAUAACUGUAGAAAAACUAGAGCUAAUACAUGCCAAAGCCUCACGGUUGUAUUUAUUAGAUAUUCCAAUUAGGUGAAUCAUAAUAACUUCGCAAAUCUCGGUUUUUGCCGAGAUAAAUCAUCCAAGUUUCUGCCCUAUCAUGCUUUCGAUGGUAGUGUAUUGGACUACCAUGGCCACCCCAGGGCAACAGGGAAUUAGGGUUCGACUCUUGGAGAAGGAGCCUGAGAAACGGCUACUACAUCUACGGAAGGCAGCAGGCGCGUAAAUUACCCAAUCCUGACUCAGGGAGGUGGUGACAAGAUAUAACAACGCAAUUUCAUUGUGAUUGUAGUGAGGGUAUUCCAACCGAACCACUAGUACGAUUAGAGGGCAAGUCUGGUGCAGCAGCCGCGGUAUUCAGCUCUAUAGCGUAUAUAAAGUGCUGCAGUAAAGCUCGUA
rnacentral:rRNA from 1 species